UAGAUCAUGUUGAAUAUAAGAAACUUUUUUCUUCCAUGCCUUCUUCCAUGAACUACUUUCUUCCAUGUUAACUAUAAUGAACUUCCUUUCUUCCAACAUAAAACAGAGACCAUAGUUCAAAACUCCUUAUAGGCCUAAAAUGAAUGUAAUAUCCAAAAGUUGCUUCAUGCAUCGAAGUACCUUAACUGAACCGUAAAAAUACAUAACAAAAAUAUAAUAAUUGUAACUUUUGAAUAUACAGCUUUUUAUGUGUAAGCUAUCAAUGAACUGCUAUAAGCUGUGUGUGUGUGUAUAUAUAUAUAUAUAGAGAGAGAGAGAGAUAUCCUCUUGCGCUACUUAUAUAGUUACUGCUUACAUUGGCCUCAGUUCGCACAAACAGGAAUAAUAAUACCACUGCGAGUAAAGCGAAUACGAUCCCACCUUUUAUGGAUUUUACCAUUUCAGUCCUUCUAUUGCAAGCUGCACGAAACAAUGGAGGUUCACAAACAUGGAAGCCUAUAAAUAACACAAAAACUGUGGAACUGAAUGAUGAUCCACCAGGAUGCAAUGAAAACCAUGGAUACACAACUGAUUUUGGUAAUGCUUCGGCAUUUGAACAUCCCGAACAAAAUGUAUAUCCACCACCACCACCAUAUACACCAGAACCCGGAUAUUCACCACAGCAUGAAUAUCCACCACUACCAGCAUAUUCACCACAACCCGGAUAUCCACAACAACCUGGAUACCUGUCACAACCAACACCUGUGCUACAACAACCACAGCAACAACAACAACAACAACAACAGCAAACUCUUAUUAAAACCAGGAACUAAAAUACUUUGCAUUUAAGACGACUGCAGCAAUUUUUGUCACCUGUUUCUGCUGUUUUCCAACAGGCUUUGGUGCUCUUCUUAAAGUAUUAAAAGCAAACACAAUGGCUCAGAAUGGAAAUUUAGAAGGUGCAACCAAGGCAAAUAGAACUGCAAAGGAAUUAAUCCUAAUAUCACUUUUUAUUGGUUUUCUUUUGUAUACGCUUCCAGUCAUCGUUCAUAUUACUUACAAAUAUAUUUGAUAAUUAUAUAUUCUGAUCGGUGAACUCUAAGGCUUCAGCAUGAUGGCAAGAACCCAUAAAGCAGUAAAAUUAUGAAAGCAUAGAGAUAUUCCUGAAAGACUUGUACCAUUCCUUCACUCCAAUUUAAUUUCCCACGAAAGCAAUGGGUGAUAUUGUUGCAUUUUGGUUUUAAUUCAAUCUUCUUUAUUUAAGAAUAAUCAAACUUUAAAAACAUUUUAUAAAUAUAAUAGUUAAACAAAGCAAAUUUUUAAACUCUUUCCUAGUUUUUCAAAAUAUUCCCUUAAAACCAAUCGUUUGAGAUUUUAAUAUUUAUAUGAGCGCUUAAGCAGUUUAACAUAAAUUAAACACAAGAUACACAAAGAAUAAACAGUUAUACAAUAUAUUGACAAAUAUCGCUAUACAUGUCAACACAAAAUAUUUAGUGGAAUAUAUCUUGUAGCUUUCAUUCACAAUUAUUUCGGUUAACAUUGGUUUAAAUAUUUCUUAUCAUGUCAAGCAAUAGCAAGUGGAGUUCACAACAAACACACUAAUGGCAUUUUGCAGACAAGAAAGCAAACCUUCAACGCAGUAAAGCUGUAAGGACAGCAGCGAAAGAUUGAGUAUCUGUCCAUAUAAAACGAAAAAAAAAAAAAGAACGUCGCCCGCGGGUACAGACAGGACUCGAACAGGCACCGCUCAGAUAUUAUCUGCCGACAAUACCAUUUAGCUAGACAGUAACGUGCGAUGAAAUAUCGUCAAAUUUAAAGCUACUUCGAAUGCAAUAACACUUUAUAAACAAACUUUGGAAGCGUCAGAUAUGGUUGCUAUUUUGCAGACCAGAAAAUAAUGAUUUUGUUGUACUAUCGUCUUUAGAAAAAAUAUCUGAAAGUGUUUUCCGUUAAUAAAAUUCAAUAUUUUAACAAAUGAAUUUUAUAACAAAAUAGUAGUUGUUUAAAAUUGUAGAUACAUCUGUAGCAAACUCAUAAGAGGCGGAGAGAGAACGUAAGUUCGUUUGCCCGAACAUGAGAAAUUAUUGAUUUCUCAUUGGUUAAAAAUUACUGCCCAUAUACGAAUUAUGAACUUCGUUGAAGAAAUCUUUCACGGGGUUACGGUUCUAUGAUUCGUGUAUGAGUAGUUAUAAAAACCCUGAUUUUCGGCAAUAUCUCCAGUGUCCGUUGGACAGCCACUCAAAUCCACGGCACUCACCCUUUUGAGUAUCGGCUAAUAUAUAUGCCAUGUUCAAUACUCAAAUCCGACAAUAUUGAAUUGUCGUGAAACCUUAUAGUUAGAAUGAGAAAUUAGUUAAUAUAAAUUUAAGUCGUAAUUCUCUACGACGAAAUGAUUUGGUUUCUAAAUUUCUAUAAAUGUAAAAAAAAUGUAUAUAAUAAAUUAAUGUAGAAACUUAA